rnacentral:rRNA from 1 species
CCUACGGGAGGCAGCAGUGGGGGAUAUAGCACAAUGGGGGAAACCCUGAUGCAGCGACGCCGCGUGUGGGAAGACGGUCCUCUGGAUUGUAAACCACUGUCCCCAGGGACGAAGAUGACGGUACCUGGGGAGGAAGCUCCGGCUAACUACGUGCCAGCAGCCGCGGUAAUACGUAGGGAGCGAGCGUUGUCCGGAAUUACUGGGUGAAAAGGGAGCGUAGGCGGGACUGCAAGUUGGGUGUCAAAUCUACCGGCUCAACCGGUAGCCGCACUCAAAACUGCAGUUCUUGAGUGAAGUAGAGGCAGGCGGAAUUCCUAGUGUAGCGGUGAAAUGCGUAGAUAUUAGGAGGAACACCAGUGGCGAAGGCGGCCUGCUGGGCUUUUACUGACGCUGAGGCUCGAAAGUGUGGGGAGCAAACAGGAUUAGAUACCCCGGUAGUC